CCUACGGGAGGCAGCAGUGGGGAAUAUUGGGCAAUGGGCGCAAGCCUGACCCAGCAACGUCGCGUGCAGGAAGAAGGCUCUCGGGUUGUAAACUUCUUUUUUCACGGACGUAGCAAGUGACGCUACCUGAGGAUUAAGCCACGGCUAACUACGUGCCAGCCGUCGUGGUAAUACGUCGGCGGCAAGCGUUCUCCGGAUUUACUGGGUGUAAAGGGCGUGUAGGCGGGGACGCAAGUCAGAUGUGAAAACCACGGGCUCAAGCAGUGGCCUGCGUUUGGCACUGUGUUUCGUGAGUACUUGGAAGGCAGACGGAAUUCGUGGUGUAGCGGUGAAAUGCGUAGAUAUUAGGAGGAACACCAGUGGCGAAGGCGGUCUGCUGGACAGCAACUGACGCUGAGGCGCGAAAGCGUGGGGAGCGAACAGGAUUAGAUACCCUUGUAGUC
rnacentral:rRNA from 1 species